GCCGUGGUGGCACAACAGUUAAGCACUUGGCUGAUAACCGAGAGGUUGACAGUUCAAACCCAUCCAGCGGCU
rnacentral:tRNA from 1 species